rnacentral:tRNA from 1 species
GGAGAAUUAACUCAGCGGUUAGAGUGUCUUGCUUACACCAAGGCGGCCGGGGGUUCGAAUCCCUCAUUCUCCA